rnacentral:rRNA from 1 species
UACGUAGGGUGCGAGCGUUGUCCGGAAUUAUUGGGCGUAAAGAGCUUGUAGGCGGUUUGUCGCGUCUGCUGUGAAAUCUCAAGGCUCAACCUUGAGCUUGCAGUGGGUACGGGCAGACUAGAGUGUGGUAGGGGAGACUGGAAUUCCUGGUGUAGCGGUGAAAUGCGUAGAUAUCUGGAGGAACACCGGUGGCGAAGGCGGCAUUCUGGACCGACAUUGACGCUGAGGAGCGAAAGCCAGGGGAGCAAACGGG